rnacentral:rRNA from 1 species
UCCAUAGGUUAAUGAGGCGAACCGGGGGAACUGAAACAUCUAAGUACCCCGAGGAAAAGAAAUCAACCGAGAUUCCCCCAGUAGCGGCGAGCGAACGGGGAGGAGCCCAGAGCCUGAAUCAGCAUGUGUGUUAGUGGAAGCGUCUGGAAAGGCGCGCGAUACAGGGUGACAGCCCCGUACACAAAAGCGCAUGUGCUGUGAGCUCGAUGAGUAGGGCGGGACACGUGGUAUCCUGUCUGAAUAUGGGGGGACCAUCCUCCAAGGCUAAAUACUCCUGACUGACCGAUAGUGAACCAGUACCGUGAGGGAAAGGCGAAAAGAACCCCGGCGAGGGGAGUGAAAAAGAACCUGAAACCGUGUACGUACAAGCAGUGGGAGCCCCACCACUAAGCCAGUGG